rnacentral:rRNA from 1 species
CCUACGGGAGGCAGCAGUGGGGAAUAUUGGACAAUGGGCGAAAGCCUGAUCCAGCAAUGCCGCGUGAGUGAUGAAGGCCUUAGGGUUGUAAAGCUCUUUUACCAGGGAUGAUAAUGACAGUACCUGGAGAAUAAGCUCCGGCUAACUCCGUGCCAGCAGCCGCGGUAAUACGGAGGGAGCUAGCGUUGUUCGGAAUUACUGGGCGUAAAGCGUACGUAGGCGGCGAUUCAAGUCAGAGGUGAAAGCCUGGAGCUCAACUCCAGAACUGCCUUUGAAACUAGAUUGCUAGAAUCGUGGAGAGGUGAGUGGAAUUCCGGAGUGUAGAGGUGAAAUUCGUAGAUAUUCGGAAGAACACCAGUGGCGAAGGCGGCUCACUGGACACGUAUUGACGCUGAGGUACGAAAGCGUGGGGAGCAAACAGGAUUAGAUACCCUGGUAGUCCACGCCGUAAACGAUGAUAACUAGCUGCCAGGGUUCUUAGAACUUUGGUGGCGCAGCUAACGCAUUAAGUUAUCCGCCUGGGGGAGGUACGGUCGCAGAUAACUACGAAGAAGUAGACGGCGUGAGACGUGCCGACGGACGACGACGAGGGAGUUAGG